CAAGAUGGUUACUAAAAGGAUACUAAGCCUUAAACUGGACCACUCAAGAAAUUGUUGGGAGAAAACAUUGAUAUAUUUAUCUUUAAAUAGAUAAAUUGAUUAAUACUGCCAGUGGAUAAGUCGCUAUGUUGCUGCCAUCAUUGAUAUCAAGAUAGUUGUGAGUAAUUCGUAAUAGAAAGCGGUCGAUAAUUUUUGGAGUCCUCUUACGAUGAAUUCUCUUACCACGACCGCCAUUCUGUUGGCCAUUUUGGAGGCCAUUUUGAAGAAGAGCCAAUGUCGUCGGAGAAAAUGGCGUCACAGUUGGCGUGGUCUUACGUUUGAACGAUAUAAUUUUUGGAUAAUUCACG